rnacentral:rRNA from 1 species
AACGUAGGACACGAGCGUUAUCCGGAAUCAUUGGGCGUAAAGAGCGUGUAGGCGGCCUUUUAAGUCCUGCGUGAAAUCCUGCGGCUCAACCGCAGACGGUCGUGGGAAACUGGAAGGCUAGAGUGCGGGAGAGGAGAGUGGAAUUCCCGGUGUAGCGGUGAAAUGCGCAGAUAUCGGGAAGAACACCCGUGGCGACGGCGGCUCUCUGGAACGCAACUGACGCUGAGACGCGAAAGCGUGGGGAGCAAACAGG